rnacentral:rRNA from 1 species
GUCGAACGGUAACAUGAGAGCUUGCUCUUGAUGACGAGUGGCGCACGGGUGCGUAACGCGUAUGCAACCUACCCUUUACUGGAGGAUAGCCCGGAGAAAUUCGGAUUAAUACUCCAUAGUUCCUAAAAACUUCAUGGUUUAUAGGAUAAAGAUUUAUUGGUAAAGGAUGGGCAUGCGUGACAUUAGUUAGUUGGUGAGGUAACGGCUCACCAAGACGAUGAUGUCUAGGGGUUCUGAGAGAUGAUCCCCCACACUGGUACUGAGACACGGACCAGACUCCUACGGGAGGCAGCAGUAGGGAAUAUUGGUCAAUGGGCGAGAGCCUGAACCAGCCAUGCUGCGUGUAGGAAGACGGCCUUCUGGGUUGUAAACUACUUUUAUAUAGGAACAAAUAGACCAUGCGUGGUAAGUUGAGUGUACUAUAUGAAUAAGCACCGGCUAACUCCGUGCCAGCAGCCGCGGUAAUACGGAGGGUGCAAGCGUUGUCCGGAUUUAUUGGGUUUAAAGGGUGCGUAGGUGGCGUGUUAAGUCAGUGGUGAAAGCCUGCAGCUCAACUGUAGAGGUGCCAUUGAUACUGACAUGCUUGAGUAUGGAUGAGGUAGGCGGAAUUUGUGGUGUAGCGGUGAAAUGCAUAGAUACCACAAAGAACACCGAUAGCGAAGGCAGCUUACUGGACCAUAACUGACACUAAGGCACGAAAGUGUGGGUAGCGAACAGGAUUAGAUACCCUGGUAGUCCACACCGUAAACGAUGCUCACUCGAUGUAUGCGAUACACUGUAUGCGUCCAAGCGAAAGCGUUAAGUGAGCCACCUGGGGAGUACGCUCGC